AACUUUCAGCAACGGAUCUCUUGGCUCUCGCAUCGAUGAAGAACGCAGCGAAAUGCGAUAAGUAGUGUGAAUUGCAGAAUUCAGUGAAUCAUCGAAUCUUUGAACGCA
rnacentral:rRNA from 1 species